rnacentral:rRNA from 1 species
UACAGAGGGUGCAAGCGUUAAUCGGAAUUACUGGGCGUAAAGCGUGCGUAGACGGUUAUGUAAGUCAGGUGUGAAAGCCCCGGGCUCAACCUGGGAAUGGCAUUUGGGACUGUAAGGCUGGAGUAUGGCAGAGGAGACUAGAAUUCCUGGUGUAGCAGUGAAAUGCGUAGAUAUCAGGAGGAAUACCGAUGGCGAAGGCAGGUCUCUGGGCCAAUACUGACGCUCAUGCACGAAAGCGUGGGGAGCAAACAGG